rnacentral:rRNA from 1 species
AGAGUUUGAUCCUGGCUCAGGACGAACGCUGGCGGCGUGCCUAAUACAUGCAAGUAGAACGCUGAAGGAGGAGCUUGCUCUUCUGGAUGAGUUGCGAACGGGUGAGUAACGCGUAGGUAACCUGCCUGGUAGCGGGGGAUAACUAUUGGAAACGAUAGCUAAUACCGCAUAACAUUGACUAUUGCAUGAUAGUCAAUUGAAAAGGUGCAAUGCACCACUACCAGAUGGACCUGCGUUGUAUUAGCUAGUUGGUGGGGUAACGGCUCACCAAGGCGACGAUACAUAGCCGACCUGAGAGGGUGAUCGGCCACACUGGGACUGAGACACGGCCCAGACUCCUACGGGAGGCAGCAGUAGGGAAUCUUCGGCAAUGGACGGAAGUCUGACCGAGCAACGCCGCGUGAGUGAAGAAGGUUUUCGGAUCGUAAAGCUCUGUUGUAAGAGAAGAACGAGUGUGAGAGUGGAAAGUUCACACUGUGACGGUAUCUUACCAGAAAGGGACGGCUAACUACGUGCCAGCAGCCGCGGUAAU